rnacentral:rRNA from 1 species
AUUGAACGCUGGCGGCAUGCCUUACACAUGCAAGUCGAACGGCAGCGGACCUUCGGGUGCCGGCGAGUGGCGAACGGGUGAGUAAUAUAUCGGAACGUACCUUUCAGUGGGGGAUAACGUAGCGAAAGUUACGCUAAUACCGCAUAUUCUGUGAGCAGGAAAGCAGGGGAUCGCAAGGCCUUGCGCUCUUUGAGCGGCCGAUGUCAGAUUAGCUAGUUGGUGAGGUAAAGGCUUACCAAGGCGACGAUCUGUAGCGGGUCUGAGAGGAUGAUCCGCCACACUGGAACUGAGACACGGUCCAGACUCCUACGGGAGGCAGCAGUGGGGAAUUUUGGACAAUGGGGGCAACCCUGAUCCAGCCAUGCCGCGUGAGUGAAGAAGGCCUCGGUUG